rfam:Ancylostoma ceylanicum strain HY135 Acey_s0571_scaf, whole genome shotgun sequence.
CCAACGGCCCUCUUUAGGGCCACAACUGCCAUCGAAUACAGUAAUCU